rnacentral:lncRNA from 1 species
AGAAUGACCAAGUCCUCCAAAGGCUGGAAAAAGAAGUCACUGCUUCACUUCAAAAGUGAUCAGGAAACAAUAAAGACACUGGUAGAAAACAGGAGAACCAAAAAGAACCAAGCAUGUCUUAGCAUUUUGCCAUGGAAAUUCUGCCUGUUUCUAGUUUUGGAAUUACUUGCUUCCAGGAUGAAAAAGAAAAGACACAUAAGAUGGAAGGAACACAUUCUAUUUUAACAACAGACAUUGUUAUUGUGGUCACGGCAGAUGCAGAACUCUACAUCAACACUUUUCUAGCUCUGGAUAAGCAUUUAAAUAUUGCAAGAACUCACUCCUUCGAUGUUAUCAUUGGGAACCUGAGAGACUUAAGCCACAGGGAGUCUAAAAAAAGCAGAAGCUGGAAGAGCCAAGGUAGGCUAGGGCAGAACUCUUGGAGCAGAGAUGACAACAAUAAACUGAGAACAAUGCUUGUCCUUUAUUAAUGAUCCCAGAGAGACAAGGACAGCACCCUUUACAAAGCCAAUUGGAAGGGGCAUGGAGAGUCAACCAGCAGGUAAGGAGCAAGAGAGAUAAGAAGACCUAGGGACCACGGCAUUCACUGAGGUCCAAGGCAUUAUCCAAGCAGUUAUCUCUCAGGGAGUUCUGCUUGGUGGGUUUAGAGCAAAUAGAAGUGAGUUCUGUGGAGUCACACUGUGACUGAGAGAUGGUCACUGUGGCAUAUCUGCACAGUCCAUGCAGGAUGCAGGGCCCCAUGGGGUGAGUCAAGUAGGUUGUAUCUAGCUGUCCUAUAGGAAGGUGGUCACCAGAAGAUGGUUGUUUUAAGGCAGAUAUCUAGGUCUACCACUUUGAGGAACUGGAAGGAAGCAGAGAACUGGAAAUUGUGUCAAUGGUGGCUAAGCCCUGCUUCUGUUAAGAGAAAGUUAAGCUUAUAUUGAAAUGGAUGAUGAAGCAAUAUGAAAUUACAAGAAUUCACUUCAAGACGUCAUAUAGGAGGUAGAAGAAACAUUCAGAGAGGUGGAAGAAGAAACCAGGAAAGUGUGGGGCCUCUGAAGCUAAAGGAGAAAGUAGAUACAUUUUUAUUGUGCAUGA